rnacentral:rRNA from 1 species
AGAGUUUGAUCAUGGCUCAGGAUGAACGCUGGCGGCGUGCUUAACACAUGCAAGUUGCGCGGUGAUCUCAAGAAGUUUUCGGACGGAAAGGGAGAGCAGCAGCGGACGGGUGAGUAAAGCACAAGGACUUGUCCCGAAGAGGGGGACAACUGUGGGAAACCACAGCUAAUACCCCAUAAGCCGAGAGGUGAAAGCAGCGAUGCGCUUUAGGAGAGACUUGUGUCCUAUCAGGUAGUUGGUGAGGUAACGGCUCACCAAGCCGAAGACGGGUAGCCGGACUGAGAGGUUGUACGGCCACAUUGGAACUGAGAGACGGUCCAGACUCCUACGGGAGGCAGCAGUGGGGAAUAUUGGGCAAUGGGGGGCCAACCCUGACCCAGCGACGCCGCGUGAGGGAAGACAGCCUUCGGGUUGUAAACCUCUGUUGCAGGGGAAGAAGAAAGUGACGGUACCCUGCGAGGAAGCUCCGGCAAACUACGUGCCAGCCGCCGC